rnacentral:lncRNA from 1 species
UUUUGAUUUGUUCUGAACGAUUACUACUGCAUAUAUUUAUUUCUGGUUAGAACUAUGAUUUCUUGUUUUCCUUGAGAAAAAUUUCUCACCUGUGUUCGAAAUUUUUCUGAUGAGUGGAGGGAGUGUGUAACAUUCCUGUUUUCUUUGGGAAAAAUUUCUCACGUGUGUUCAAAAUUUUUCUGAUGGGUGAGAGGAGUGUGUAACGUUACAAACGUCACAUCUUUGAUAUUUUAUUUUUAAAUAAUUAUUUUACCUUAUUUCCUUUAAUAUUUCAUUAAUAAUUAUCUUCUUCUAAUUGGUUUACCCAUUUUCCCCUUUAAAAAUCGGUUGGCGCUCUCUUUUAUUACCCUCUUUUAUUAUUUUCUAUUUAAUAUAUCUCUUUUUAUUUAAAUCAUCAUACUGAACAUACCUCGUAUAUUCAUACUCUCCAAAUAUCUGUAUUUUCAAUACGGAACAUGCCGCUACUUCAUAGUACUUGGUUGUCAUUUUAAAUGUCGUUUUCAAUGACAGUGUCACUUCAUCGACUUGACCCCCUACUCCCUGACAUACACUGGAAGGGAAAAAUUAAUCCUUAAAAAGGCAUGUAAUUCGAAAAAUAAAUCAUUUCUAUUUCAUCAAAUCAUCUCUUGGGUUUUUUGGAAAGAAACCACUUUUCUCCCUCCGGGAGUUUCAACAACCCUCAAAUCGCCGGCGAUACAACAACGAGGACCAUGUCAUCAGGGCUGCAACCACAUAACCAAGACUGCAACGACCAACAUCCGUAGGCCUGGUGGAAUACACCACCUACAACCCCAGAGCCCGUUGCAGAACCAGCAGCAGUACCAUACGACAUCAAGAAGAUACCACCAGCUACCAAAAGCCAUAAGUAUAAUCCAGAAUUGUUAGUUUUUGGCAAGAAUUUAAAUACAUUUGUUAAUGCAAUUUACUAAGUCAUUUUAUUUAUUAUAUCUUUAUGAACAAUAAACAUGAUUAGUUAAAAUUA